UGAGUUCUUGAUUUGCUUGAUUUUGACCUUACUAGGUUAUAUUACUGGGAUAAUUUAUGCAAUUUAUGCAAUCGUUAUCCGUGAUCAUGAUUAAAUUAUAUUUUGUAAAGAAAAAUUUAUUCAACUCUGUUGAGAAUCAAAAUAAUAAUAAUAAAAAAAGUUAAAUGACCAUCUAUAAACCAAUUCGACAUAGUACAUACAUGAUUGAAUCCACAAGCAAAUAUAUCAGAUAGCUUUGUACAUAAAUUUUCGGCAGAUGACAAAAAAAAAAAAAUCUACUUUUAAUUUUGAUUUUUGAAAUUGAUUCUCUAUAUUGUACAUAAAUGUUAAGGCGCCACGUUGAAAGUCUUCUCGAAAGAAGAGCUUCUAAUAAUAAUACAUCAUGUCGCGAAUUUGAAUUAAUCAGCGUCACAAUGCAUGUACCAUAUACCAGAUGCGAAAUUAAAUGCUUAUAAUAUCUUUUAACACAAUAAAUUUUGUUAAUCACUUUGAUUAAUAAAAUUUUAAUUAUAUUUUUUUUAUGCUUACAAUCUCUUUCAACACAAUAAAUUUUGCUAAUUACUUUGAUUAAUAAAAUUUUAAUUAAUUAUUUUUUUUUAUUUUUGCAGUGUGAAUUCUUGAUUUGCUUGAUUUUAACCUUAUUAGGUUAUAUUCCUGGGAUUAUUUAUGCAAUUUAUGCAAUUGUGGUUCGUGGUCAUGAUCAAGAUGAAGAAUGGCGUCCUCUUACUGCCUAAUUAUUUUUUUUUUAAUUAUUAUUAUUAUUAUUAAUUUAUUUAUUUUUUUGGAUAAUAGGAAAACAAUAAUUCUAGAUUUAUUUGAUCCAGAAAAUAUUUUUUUAGCUGAUAUGCUUUGGUUCUUUAACAGAAAUUAAUAAAAGUUUUGGCAUAUUGUCCCUAUUUAUUUUUAUCUUCUUCAAAAAAAAAUAUGUGAUUUACCUAAUAUAAUGCAGUUUACUAUUAUUAUGCUCAUAGAUAUAAUGUAUUUCGCUACGCUCUGAUAUUAGGCGUUAAUAUUGUAUAUUCUGCUACGGAGAUAUUUUAUACGCUUGAAUACACUUAUUUGUACCAUCAUAACUUAAAAAUCAAAACUGC
rnacentral:lncRNA from 1 species